AGUGAACGCUGGCGGUAGGCCUAACACAUGCAAGUCGAACGGCAGCACAGUAAGAGCUUGCUCUUACGGGUGGCGAGUGGCGGACGGGUGAGGAAUACAUCGGAAUCUACUUUUUCGUGGGGGAUAACGUAGGGAAACUUACGCUAAUACCGCAUACGACCUACGGGUGAAAGCAGGGGAUCUUCGGACCUUGCGCGAUUGAAUGAGCCGAUGUCGGAUUAGCUAGUUGGCGGGGUAAAGGCCCACCAAGGCGACGAUCCGUAGCUGGUCUGAGAGGAUGAACGGCCACACUGAACUGGAGACACGUUCCAAACUCCCAGGGAGGGCACAGUGGGGAAUAAUGGAACAUGGGGGGCAGCCUGAACCCGCCCAACCGGCUGGGUUAAAGAGGGCCUUCGGUUUGAAAGGCCCUUUGUUUGGGAAAAAAAGCCGGCGGUUAAAAACCCCGCGUUCCUAACGUAACCAAAAAAUAAAGAACCGCCAACUUCCUG
rnacentral:rRNA from 1 species